UGACAAUAUUUUUUCCUUUUUUGUUUUUGUUUGUUUUUUGUUUUGUAUUUAAUCUAGAAAUAUGAAAUGCCAAGUCCUAUGGUUUACCUUCUCGUGGUGCAUUUCGUUAAAUAAGUUACAAAAGUUUUACACUUUGUAAUUUAUAAACUAAAAACCAAGGCAAUAUUUUUAGAAGUUAUAUAAGGGAAAUAUAUAACCCCAUGCGUUUUUACUUAAUGUGCAAAAAUAUCUGAAUUAAUUUAUAAACGAAGUAUUUACUAAACGCAACCUAAUGGAAGUAUACAAUCUAUAAUUUGUGAUCGAUAGUAGAUGGUAAAUUAAUGUUACACGCUCUAAGCAAGUAUUACAGACCAUCGUUUAGCAAAGCAAUUUUAAAACAACCAAUUUAACUAGAGUUUAGAAGAACAGCGAGUGAUUUAAGGAAAUUAAUGAAGGAGAACGCUCCGAAGCAGAAAUAGAUCUUAUUUAUUUUAUCAUUAUUUGGUAAACGAAAUUACCUUAACUAAUUUUAAUAAAGAUAUCUUUUAUGAAUAUUAUUUAUGUAUUUACAGACACUAAAUUUGCUACCAAAAGUA